CUACAAGCAACCUUCAGAAACGAUGUGAUGUGAAUGCUCAAAUUAAACAAACACACAGAUACAAGUGAGAAAAGACCCAGGAGUUCUUUGACAAGCUAAUACGUGCAUCAGGACUGAGAUGCUGAGGAGUUCCACCAAUUGAAGAC